AUUGCUUUCAGCUUGUGCCUCUAUUGGGGCAUUGCUCCAUGGGAAAGAAACUCAUUGUUAUGCAAUCAAAUUUAUUCUCGGAUUAGAUGGACCUGAUCCUGGGGACGACGAUUUGAAGGUGAUUAAUGGUCUCAUUGACAUGUAUGCUAAAUGCCAAAACACAGAGGUGGCUAGAAAAAUGUUUGAUUCAGUGUCUUCAAAAGAUAGAGAUGUGGUUACCUGGACUGUGAUGAUUGGUGGGUAUGCCCAACAUGGUGAUGCAAAUCAUGCUCUACAGCUUUUCUCCGAAAUGUUUUAUGAAUCUAUAAAGCCUAAUGAUUUCACUUUAUCAUGUGCCCUUGUGGCCUGUGCUCGUUU
rnacentral:lncRNA from 1 species